rnacentral:rRNA from 1 species
GGCGGAGGAUGCAAGCGUUAUCCGGAAUGAUUGGGCGUAAAGCGUCCGCAGGUGGCAGUUCAAGUCUGCUGUCAAAGACCGGGGCUUAACUUCGGAAAGGCAGUGGAAACUGAACAGCUAGAGUAUGGUAGGGGCAGAGGGAAUUCCUGGUGUAGCGGUGAAAUGCGUAGAGAUCAGGAAGAACAUCGGUGGCGAAGGCGAUCUGCUGGACCAUAACUGACACUCAGGGACGAAAGCUAGGGGAGCGAAUGGG